AAAAAAUAAAAUCUUUAAAAAAAAAAUGUAAAAAAAAAAUAAUUGAUCCUGAUAAAAAAUAAUUUCAGUGAAUUAAAAAUAAAAGUGCAUAUAUUAGAAUUGCUUUACAGGGCUAUAUUUUAAAGAAAUCGAUCAAGGAAUUCAUACUGUAUUGCAUACUGCAAAGUUGAUAAGAGAAUCAAUCUUAAAAGUUCUCAUCGCAAGAAAAAACAUUUGUAACUACGUAUGAAGAUAGCUGUGAACUGGGAUUUUUGUGGUGAUCAUUUUACAAUAUAUAAAAAUAUCAAAUCAUUACGUUGUACACCUGAAACUAACACAAAAAAUAAGAUUAAAAUAAUUUUUAAAAGUCCUAUUAAGUUUGCUCUGAAAAAUACAUUUCAGGACUGGCCCUGUGGUAGAGUGGUUAAGUUUGGUGUGCUCUGCUUUGGCAGCCUGGGUUUGCGUGUGUGUUUGGACCCUGGGCACAGACCCACACCACUCGUCAGUCAUGUUGUGGUGGCGAUCCACAUACAAAAAUAUAGAGGGAGAUUUACACAGAUGUUAGCUCAGGGCUAAUCUUCCCCAAGCAGAAAAAGAGGAAGACUGACAACAGAUGUUAACUCAGGGCCAAUCUUCCUCAGCAAAAAAAACAAAAAACAUUUCAACACAAACUUUUACAUGUUUUGUAUAAUUCUGAUUUCAAGGUUUUAUUAGGCACAGAAUUAAAACAUUUGGCCUGAUCAAAGUUGUCUCAGGUAAAACGGCUGGGACAAAAUAUCAGGGUCAAAAAGAGUACACAUUGCAAGACUAAAGUGUCCCCUGCUCAUUUCUUUCCAUUUGGCCUUUCUGAGUAAAAUAUAUCUUUAUUGAGGUAAAAUACACAUAACAUAAAAUUUACCAUCUUUACCAUUUUUGCGUUUAUGUGUCAUUAAGAACAUUAAGUUCAUUAAGUGCAUUUUAAGGGUAUUAAACACAAUAUGGCUGUGCAACCAUCACCACAAUCCACCUUCAAAACACUUUUCAUCUUGCAAAACUGAAACUCUAUACCCAUUCAUCAGUAACCUCCCAUUCCCACCACCUCCCAACCCCUGGCAAACACCAUUCUACUUUCUGUCUCUCUGAAUCUGGCUAUUUCAGGUACCUCAUUUAAGUGCAAUCACACAAGGUUGUAUUUUUGUGGCUUAUUUUAGUUAGCAUAAUAUUCUGAAGGUUCAUCCAUGGUGUACCAUGUCUCAGAAUGUCGUUCCUUUUUAAGGAUGAAUAAUAUACCAUUGUACAUAUAUACCACAUUUGGCUUAUCUACUCAUCCCUGGACAGACACUUGGGUUGCUUCCAUGUUUUACCUGUUAUGAAUAAGGAUGCCAUGAACAUGGGUAUGUAGAUAUGUCUUUGAGAACAUGCUUUCCAUUCUUUGGGGGGUAUAUACCCAGAAGCAGAAUUGCUGGGUCCUAUGGUAAUUCUAUUUUUAAUUUUUUUGAGGAACUGACAUACUGAUUUCCAUAGCAACUAAACCAUUUUACAUUCCCACCACAGUGCACAAGGAUUCCAAUUUCUCCACAUCUUUGCCAACGUGUUUUCUUUUCUCCUUUUUUUUGAUAGAUGCCAUCCUAAUGAAUGUGAGGUGGUAUCUCACUGUGUUUGACUUGCAUUUCCCUAACGAUUAGUGAUGUUGAGCAUAUUUUCAUAUGCUUACUGGUCAUCUGCAUAUCUUCUUUGAGGAAAUGUCUAUUCAGGUAUUUUGUUCAUUUUUGACUUGGGCUGUUUGUUUUCUGUUGUUGAGUUUAGGAGUUCUCUGUCUAUUCUUAAUAUUAAGGCCUUGUCAGAUACAUGGUUUGCAAAUACGGUCUCCCACUCUGUAGACUGUGUUUUACUCUACUGGUAAUACCUUUAGAGACACAAAAGUUUUUAUUGUACAUAAAGUCCAGUGUAUUUUCUUAAUUUAUUACCUGCUCCUUGGGUUUCAUAUCCGUGAAAUCACUGCCAAACCCUACUUUGCAAAGUUUUGUCUUAUGUUUUCUUCUAAGAGUAUUAUAUUUUAGCCCUUACAUUUAAGUCUUUGAUCCACUGGGAAUUAAGUUUUGUAUAUGGUGUUAGGUAAAGGCCCAAGCUGAUUCUUUGUAUGUAGAUAUUUACUUUUCCAGCACAACUUGUUGAAAAGACUGUCUUUUCCCCACUGAAUAAUCUUGGCACCCUUGUCAAACAUCACCUGAGGGUUUAUUUCUGGGCUCUCAAUUCUGUUUCAUUGGUCCAUAUGUCUGUCUUUAUGUUAUUAUAAUGCUGUUUUAAUACUGUAGAUUUGUAGUACGUUUUAAAUCAGGAAGAAUGAGUCCUCCAACUUAGUACCUCCUUUCAAGACUGUUUUGGGUACCUGGCUUACUUGAGACUCCAUAAGAAUUUUAAGAUGGUUUUUUUUUAUUUCAGCGCAAACUGUCCUUGGGAUUUUCAUAAGGACUGCACUGCAUUUGUUGAUCUCUUUGGAUAAAGUUGACACCUUCACAAUAAGGAGUCUUCCAAUCCAUGGUGAUGGGACAUCUUUCAUUUCUAGUAGUGCUGGCUGGGUGUUCAGGUUGAGGGGGCAGCAAUCUUACAUGCAGUCAUGCAGAAACCCACAAUUCCUCCACGUGGUGCCUUCACCAUUUCCUUAGAACUCAUCGAUAGUCAACAGAGGGGAACACAUGUAAAAUGCACGUGGGAAGUUUUCAAGGACUGGGUGUGGAGGGAGCACACAUUUCUCCCACUCCUCUCCACUGCCAAGAACUACAGACUGAACCAGCAGAUCCUAACACAUGGGGACUGUAGACUAACCAAGGGCCAGAGACUCAGGCUCCUGGUAGAACCAUCUGCCGGCUCAAGCUGAGCCACUAAGCCUUUAUCUGGCACUGCAGACUAACGAGGGUUAAGACUCAUGCUCUUGUUACAGCAUCCUGUCAGUCUAGACCGACCCAUUAACCCUGGACUGGGAAGCCAGUUAGAUCGGGAGCUCAACACAAAAACAGCGCCUCUCAGAUCCAAGAGGAACUUACCCAUGGUCCUCGGAAACAGCGAACAAGAUGGAGGACUCAAAGGUUUUGUGGGUACCAAUGCCUUGUUUCUCAUCCCUGAAACCAUCAGAUGCCUCCUUUGGACCCCACUGCUGCCACCAAACUGUUACAAAACAAAAUUCAACUGAGUCAAUUUUAAACAUGUUAUUGGCUUUAUUCAACAAUCCAAUCCAAUCCAAUCUAGCAGGGAGAAAGGAGCUCUGAGGGGCUGUAAAAUCUAAGACCUUUAUAGGCAGAAGGGAGCAGGAACAAGGAAGUUACACUAGACAAGAAAGCAGGCUGGUUACUGCAAGGUUGGUUACCUUCCUUUAGGGGAUGGCAGGCGUCUCUCAGGCAGAUGACUACCCAGUGCUCAUCAGGCGAUUCCCGAUGGACUGGUGUUAAGAUUCCAUUCCUGGGAGGGCCAAAAGUUUAAUUAAGUCUCGGUUUGUUGAUGUUGAGCUUAGCCUAAGUGGCUCCAUUUGGGCCUGCUGUCUUAACACACGAGACUUCUGCUGGUCCCCUGCUUUCCCCAGUUCGCAUAUCCACUGUACCUGCCUCCAGUUCUUCCCCUUCAACACCGUAAUCCCACAACACAACUACUCCCGACACUACCAUGACUUCUUCGACCACACCUCCCCUCUACUUUCCACAGUGACAGCAAGCUGCUUCACCACCACCACCACCAUUUACGUCCAAUGGGCUGAGGGGGCUGCCCAUGCAGUGAGACUCAGAAGUUGCAGGGCCUGUCCCUUGCCCCCCAAUCACCUGCCCCCAGCUUAAGUGCUUACCCUGCUGAUAGACUCAACUAUAGCCAACUCCAUCAAACAUUACAUCUUUGCCCCAAGCUUCCUUCAAACUCUCCACUCAUUUCUCUCCCAACUGUCUUUUGAGGGGUCAUUUUGGGGUAGGCUUUGAGCCACCCUGGUGAUUUUGUGCCCAUGCACAAAAGCUCCUGGCCCACCUAUCUUUAAUUGUACCACCUGGAAUCAUCUGGCACAGGUAGCCAGUGAAUGGGCACAAAUUACUGGUUUUACCUCCAAGAGCUCUAACGAAUAUUUUACACUAAGAACAUCUACUUUUGGCUUUUACUGUGGGCUGAUAUCACAAGGCUCUCACCCAGAGCGGUCCUCUCUUCCCAAGCCCUCUUACUAGCUUUCCCCAGGCUAUAUUCUGCAAUGCAUCAUUGUCUCUCUUGGCCUACUUCUAGAGGUAUAGCCCUCAGGUUGCAGGUGCCCUGAGUUUCCUGCCCUGACUGGUUAUCACCCACCCAGAGAUACUGCCAGUCCUUUAGUAUUGGGUGUUUCAGUUCUACUGGGAUUGACUGGACUGGGCACAGGUACAGUGGCCCUACCCACACAAAAUCAGGUAAAUGAGGCCAACCAAGAAGUAUCGACAACCUUAACCCAAUGUGGACAACAACUGCGUAAGACCCUAUCCUAGCCCUUGUGCAAAUCUCAUGAGUCUCGUGCCUAAAUGGUUUUAGGAAACGGCCUGGCCCUGGACUAUCUAUACUGGCCAAGGAAGGAGGGUGUUGUGCCCUCCCAAGGACCACUGGGUGCACGUACAUCAACAAUCAAAAGUUCAAACCUGCUGCCACCAGAUAGCACAAGAGCUUAAAAUAUUGCAUAAUAUUACCCAAAUCUUUGAACAGAUGCACAAGGCCCCCAGGAUCACUGAAACUAUUUUCAUGGCUGGUCUCUCCAAGUCAGGGACAAUGGCUACCAAUUGGAUUUUAGACUGCUGCUGGUAUAAUUACAGGAUUUGUUACUAUAUCCCUAAUCAGAUGUUUGCUCUCUUGGCUACAAGGUGCCCUAUCCCUAAUAACUCCAUUAAUCACUCUAUUAAUUUAAAGUUAAUUAAAUAAGGUUAACUAAUAACCUAAUAGAUUUAAAAUUUUCAAAAUUUUUAUGGAAGAAAACCUGCUUAACAUAAAAUACAUUGUUUUAAGUAUUUUAAUGUAUACAAUUCAGUGGCUUUUGGUACAAUGAUAAUGUUAUGUGGCUAUCACUACUAUAUAAUUCCAGAACAUUUUCAACAUCUCCAAAAGAAAUCUACACUCAGUCACACUCUAUUUUCUCCUAACCGAAGCCAAUGGAAACAACUCACCUGUUUUCUCUCUCUAUGGAUUCGCCUAUUCUGGACAUUUCAUUCAAAUGGCAUCAUACCAUCUGUGGCCUUCAUGGAUGGCUUCAAUUAGCAGACAUUUUUUAAGGUUCAUCCGUGGCCUAGUAUGUAGUAGUACUUUAUUCCUUUUUAUGGCUGUAUAAUAUCCUAUACUAUGAAUAUGCCACAUUUGGUUUAUGCAGUCAUAAUUUUAUAGAAAUUUGGUUCUGUUCCACUUUUGGACCAUGGUGAAUAAUGUUGCUUUGAAUGUCCGUGAGUGAGUUUUUCUUUGAACAUAUGUUUCCAAUGCUCUUUUGCACAUACCUAACAUGGACUACCCAGGUCAAAGGUAAUUCUAGGUUUAAGAUUUUAAGAAAUGCCAAGCUAUUUUCUGCAGUGGCUGCAUCAUUUUACAUUCCCACUAGUAACUGAUAACGGUUUCCCUUGUUCCACAUCUUUACCAACACUUGGGAUUUUUCCAUUAUGUUGAAUAUGGCCUUCAUGUCGAGUGUGAAAUAGUAUCACAUUGUAGUUUGAAUUUGCAUUUCCCUAAUAAUUAAUGACACUGAGCAUCUAUCUUGUGCUUAUUGGCCAUCUAUGUAUCUCCUGGAGAAAUGUCUAUUCCAACUGUUUGCCCAUUUUCAUUGACUUCUUUGUUUUGUAUUAUUGAGUUCUAAGAGAUCUUUAUAUAUUCUCAAUAUUAGAUCCUUAUCAAUUAUGUAAGUUAAAAAUAGCAGGAAACUUCCAUAAGCCACUUUCAACAAUCGAUAGAAUAUCCAGACAGAAAAAUAGGAAACAGCGGACAUGAACAACAUUAAAUACUAAAUGGAUCUAUCAGACAUAUACAGAACCUUUCAGUGAACAGCAGCAGAAUCCACAUUCUUCUCAAGGGCACAGAGAAUAUUUUCCAGAAUAGAUCAUAUGUUAGGUCACAAAACAAGACUUAAAACAAUUAAGACAACUUUGAAGAAGACACAAAGAAAUGGAAAGAUAUUCUGUGCUCAUGGACUGCAAGAAUUAACAUAAUUAAAAUGUCCAUUCUUCCUUAAGCAAUCUACAGAUUCAACGGAAUCCCUAUCAAAGUUCUAACGAUGCUUUUGUAGAAAUAGGAAAAACCUAUCCUAAAAUUCAUAUGGAAUCUCAAAAGACUCAAAACAGCCAAAACAAUUCUGAAAAAGAACAACAAAACUGAAGGACUCACACUUCCUGAUUUCAUAACUUACUACAAACCUACAGUAAUCAACACAGUGUGGUAUUGACAUAAGGACAGACAUAGAGACCAAUGGCAGAGAUAGAAGAGAAAGCCCAGAAAUAAACCCUCACAUACAUGGUCAAAUGAUUUUUGACAAAGGCGUCAAGACCAUUCAAGGAACAAAGGACAGUCUUUUCACCAAAUAGUGCUGGGAAAACUGGAUAUCAACACGCAAAAGAAUCAAAUUGGACCCUCAUGUAACACCAUACACAAAAACUAGCUCAAAAUGGAUCAAGGACCUACAUCUAAGACCUAAAACAAUAAAACUCUUAGAAGAAAACAUAGGACAAAAUCUUCCCAACAGAGGACUUGGCAAUGAUUUCUUGGAUAUGACACCAAAGGCACAGGUAACAAAAGAAAAACAAAUAGACAAAUUAGACUUAACGAAUAUUUAAAAAAUUGGUACACUAAAAGGCACUAUCCAUAAAGUAAAAAGGCAACCCACAGAGUCAAAGAAAAGAAAAUAUUUGCAAAUCAUAUUUCUGACAAGAGACUGAUAUCCAGAAUAUACAGAGAACUCCUAAAAGUAAACAAGGAAAGAAGCCAAUUCAAAAACAGGCAAAGGACUUGAAGAGACAUUUCUCCAAAGACUUAGAAAUGGCCUAUAAUCACAUGAAAAGAUGCUCAACACCACUAAUCACUGGGGAAAGGCAAAUCAAAAUUACAAUGAGAUACCACCUCACACCCAUUAAAGACGGCUCAUAUCAGAAAAAGAGAACAUGAAUGUUGGCAAGGAUGUUGAGAAAUUGAAAUCCUUGUACACUGUUGAUAAGAAUGUAAAAUGGUACAGCUGCUAUGGAAAACUGUAUGAAAGUUCCCAAAAAAAUUGAACACAGAACUACCAUAUGACUCAGCAAUUCCACUUCUGGGUAUAUACCCAAAAGAACUGAAAGCAGGAUCUCAAAGAGAUAUUUGUACACCCAUGUUCAUAGCAGCAUCGUUCCCAAUAGCUAAAAGGUGGGAACAAUCCAAGUGUCCACUGACACAUGAAUGGAUACACAAAAUGUAGCAUAUACAUACAAUGGAAUAUUAUUCAGCCCUGAAAAGGAAGCCAAUUCUGCAAUAUGCUACAACAUGGAUGAACCAUGAGGACAUUAUGCUAAGUGAAAUAAGCCAGUCACAAAAAGAUAAACACUGUGUGAUUCCACUUACAUGAGCAACUUAGAGGAAUCAAAAUCAUAGAGAUGGAAAGUGGAAUGGUGGCUGCCAAGGGCAGAGGGGAGAAGGGAGAGUUGUGGUUAAUAGGCAUAGAGUUUCAGAUUUACAACAGUUAUAGGGCUGAAUGGUGGUGAUGGAGCCCAACAACAUGAAUGUAUUUAAUGUCACUGAAGUGUUCACUUAAAAAUGGUUAAGAUGGUACAUUUAUAUUUUUUGUUAUAUUGAUUUUAAUUCAAUAUAAAAAAAAAAAAGAAAUGAGCUAUCAAGCCACAAAAAGACAUAGAAGACCCUUAAAUACAUAUUGCUAAGAAGACAACUGGAAAAAGCUACAUACUCUAUUCCAUAGAUUUCACAUAUUCCAAUUAUAUGACACUCUAGAAAAGGCAAAACCAUAGAAACAGUAUAAAGAUCAGUGGUUGCCAGGGGUUGGGAGGCAAGGGAUGAAGAAGCAGAGCACAGGGCUUUUUAAGGUAAUCCAACUCCUCUGUAGGGUAAUGUCAGGGUGGAUACAGGAGAUCAUGCAUUUGUCAAAAUCCAAGUACAAGACAGUGAACCUUAACGUAAUCUAUGGACUUAGUUACUAACACUGUGUCAAUGUCAGUUCAUCACUUGUAAGGAAUGAACCACACUAACCAGUGGUGAUGCAAGAUAUUAACAACAGGGGAAAAUGUGGGGGAGGAGGGAGAAAUGCUCUGCACUAUUUGAAUUUCUCUAUCUAGAACUUUCCUAAAAAAAAAUCUGUUAAUUAAAAAAUAAUCAAUGGAAGGUAGGCAGUGGAUAGAAAUAUGGAUGAAACAAGAGUAUCAGAAUACUGAUAAAUGUUGAAGCGAUGGGAUAGGGACCAGAGGGUCUAUUACAUUUUUCUGUUUAAUUUAUGUAUGUUCAAAGUUGUCCACAAUAAAACGCUUUUAAAAUUCCAGAUUAAAUCUUGAUUAUACGUACAAGGAAUCAAGGAAUGUGAAGAAAACAGAUAUUUUUGCAGCAAGUACUCAAGGGGCACACUGAGGGAAGGUGCAAUCACACCAGAUAGAGCGUGAAUGUCCUCAUCUCCUUGGGAAGGUUCAGAGCUCAGGGAGCAAGGUGGGCAACGGCACAGUAGGCAAGUGACAGAUAGUGAACCUGGAAAAAUGCUGGCCCUCACUGGUCACAGAAAUGCCAACAAUAGGCCCUGAGAGAAUUGUCCCAGGUUUUACAAUGUCGAGACACCUACAGUUAGAGUGGGCUCAGAAACGGAGCACCGUGUCCUGUGAGAAUGCCACUGAGCUCCAGCUUUCCGCAGAGCAAACCUCCUGAAUCCUAGAACCAUCAGGCCCCUGGUCCAGCUGCUCUGUUACAGGGAAUCCAUCCAAAAACAAAAGAUGAUGGACUGAAUAAUAUACGUUUUAUGUCCCCUUUGACAUGAAAAUCCCUAAAAAAUGACCCAAAGAUUCCUUCUUUGAUGAACAAAUUCAUAACAGCCCUGGGAAUCACCAAGAGAGCAGACAUUUUGAGGAAGACAUCAAAGAGAGACAGCAGCUGGUGACCUGGGAUCCCUGGAGGGCUCUGCGUGGGCAUUGGAGACCAAGCCAGGGUGCCCUCUCUUCCUCCCACCCUCCCCCUGCCGCUCACCUAAUGCCUCCUGCAUCCCUCCUCCACUCCCAGCCCCUCACACUCCAGGAACAAGGAGCAGAGGCGCCAUUUCCACCAGCGAAGCAUCUGUCCCCUUGCUCUCUGCCCCAUCCUGGGCGGCAGAGCCCAGGCCUGCAUCUCCUCAGGGCCCAGCUUGCUCCUCCCUGGCCCUCAAAGCUCCUCCUCUCCAUCCAGUCCCAACUGGAGCACAGACACCUGACAGCUCUUCUCCACCUUACAAACAAAACUCUCCCUCGGACCCAGGCUCCCUUUUGGCUACUGUCCACUUUCCUGACUCCCCUUCAUGGCCAAACCUCUUAAGCAAAGUGCCUUGCCCCUAUUGCCCUCCACUGCCCUCCUUCACCCACUCCAGACCCAGCUCCAUUCUCACCACUCCAAGAAGACUGCAGUCACCAGUGAUCUCAUGUGGCCGAGUCCAGCCAUCUCUUCUCCAUUCUGCCCAGAGCUGUUACCUGACCCAGCUGAGAACCCCUUCUUUCUGCCAUACCCCUUUCCCCUCCUGGCUCCCAGGACUCCACGCUCUAUCAUUUCAGUCUCCUUUCCUGGACCGUCUUCAGCUGCACCUCUACAAACACUGCCUGCUCCUAGGCUGGGCCUGGGCUCUUCUACAGCUACACAGUUUCUCCAGGAAACCUCACUCAAUUCCACGGUUUUAAACACCUCUGAUCUCACUCGGACACUGCAAACACACAGAUGCAGCUUUAAGAGGCAGGUACCAGCUCCCCAGCAUCAGCAUCUAAGGAGUAUCUCAAACUCGAUUCCUCUCAAAAUUUUACAGUUGUAUGAGUUCCAAAGAAAGUAUUACGUAUUUCCAAAAAGGAGGAGAAAUCUGGAUACAAUAAAUAGCAGUGAAUAAAGGAACCCAUAAACUGUAUACUUAUAUCCAAUCACAGUUGCUUGAUGGGGAAAAUAACAUUAUAGAACUAAGAACAGUCUUGAGCUGGGGAGUGGAAGGUGAGGAGCUGGGAGUGUAGGAAACAGGAACUGAUUAACUCUAAGCAUUUACAGAAAGAAAGGCGGAAACGGUUGUUCUUAAAAGCUGAAAGAUAUUCACAAGAAGAAUAGAAACAGAAACAAUGCGAAAGCCUAUAAAAUUAAAAAUUAAAUAAAAUGGCAGGCCCAAAUUUCAACUUAUCAAUAAUCACAAUCGUAAAUGGGUUAAAUCACUCUAUUAAAAGAUGAAGGCUCUCAGACUGAGUUAAAAUAUACCUAUUAAAUAAAGGGAUACGAAAAGAUUGAAAAUAAGGACAUAAAGAUGACUUCUAAAGGGACAAAAAGGGGUUUUCUGUGUUGAUAACAGUCAGGAACACUUAUGCACCUAACAACAUGGUCUUGAAACAUAAAGCAAAACUGGACAGACAAGAAGGCACAGGCAGCUCCAGAAUCACAGGGAGACUGACCUUCCCUCUUCUAGAAAUCCAGUCAGGUGAUACAGCAAGUUAGGAAAGAGAUCUGCUGAUGAACACAAAAAGCUAGAUCCAGCCGCAGCUGAGGGAGAACAAUGUAAGCAACUAGUGGAGAGGACGCACUCUUCUCAAACCACCACAAUGGACUGUGUGCUAAGCCACGAUGAAACCUCUAAAGAACCCAAAAUGCAGAUGUCUACAAGUGACCAUAUUACUGGACCUUAAGGAAAUAAAAUUAAACAAGAAUUACAAACAAACUGGCUCCCCUCCCCCAGUCUAUCCACUUGAAAAACUGUCCACAACCUUCUAAAUACCUUGCGUUAAAGAGAGAAUCCAGACUGAAAGGACACACUCUUUAGAAAUGAACAGCAACGAGAGCAACAUGAGGCAAAUCUAUGUGUGAGGACAAAGGGACAGAGGAAGGGACACAGCCUCCACCACAGGUACUAGGAAAUAUCAACUGUACACGAAGAAGCUGAGCACUUCCCUCCAGUAGCCAGAACAACGACACAAUAAAACCAAAGACAGUGGAAAGAAGAUUCAUGAGGCAGAAACAAUGGUGUUGACCUGAUCAAUGGAGCCAUGGGCUGGUUGUUUGGAAAGACCUGUGACAGUGACAAACCUUGGGCAGUCUGAUUAAGACAAUGGCACCAAACAGUACCAUCAGGAAUGAGAAACUAUAGAAAUAGCUUUGACGUGACAGGAGAACAGAGUAGAUAACCCUGACCAGGACUAGGAUGCAUUUGGAAACACGCAGCAUGGGUUUUGUUUCUUGUUUUGGGUUGCACUAAUGGUUGUUGCCGUGGGGGUCAAGGAGGUCCCAAACCGUCUUUCACACAAGAGCCGUUUCCCACCUGAAGUGUUACUUACAUCCCGGAGGACACACAUUGAUGCAGACUAAAUGAUCAAUGUAGUAGGAAAAUGUUUUCCCUGUAUAGUAAAAGAUACUAUCUUCAGUAUGGAAAAAACAUCAAGAAACCAGUGUUUACAAGUACUAAACCGUAAAAGAAAGGGAAAAGCAAAAACCUAGCCAACAAACACAGAAAAAAUAUAUUCAACUUACUCAUAUGGGGAGAGAAAUACUUAUGUAAAGCACAAAAACAGUCUAGGAGAUUACAUACCAAAUUUUACUAACAACAAGGAAUGAAAGUUGCGAGGCAGGUGAGAAAUGGAAAUUUUCACCACUUCUUGGCUUAUAUGUUCCUAUAAUAAUGUUUUAGUUUUACAAAAGAGAAUGUAUUCUACUCAAACAGAUGUUUAAAAUUUUAAAGAAAUUAUUAAAAUGUUCAAAAUGACUUCAGUUCAAGGACAUGCAUUAAAGCAUGAAUGGAAAGAACCUCCCCAUGACUUUAAUAAGGGUCUCCUAUAACUUUUCUAAUAGUUUACAAUGUUGAUUUUAUUUUACAUUUAGAUUUUGACUUGGGAUUUACGUUUGUGUGAGGGAUGCAUUAAAAGCUGACUUCCCCCGUGCAGGUGGAAAACCAACCAUCCAGGCACCGACCACUGAGCAGUUCCGGCUUUCCCAGCUGCCGAACUGGCUCCUUUCCCACCGGCUGAAAACCUACAGCCACAGAUACCUCUCGAGCACCCUGGAGCGAGCAGAGUAAGCUUUCCAACCUGGGCUCCCUGUCCACAAGGGACAGCUACUGGCAGAGCCUUCUCCUGAUGUGGCAGGGGGCAUGCUGCACACACAAGUGCUCAGGGGCCAUCCGCUGUGGAGCAGGACACCCCUCGCCCCCGGAUGAUGAGCAGGCAGUGGGGGAGCCUGAGGGCCCAGUACUGACCUCAGCUGGGGGACAGCAGCCUGCUCAAGAAGGGGAAGCCCACUCUCCUCAGCUCGUCCAGCUUCUGCAGCAUGUGCACUUGGCUGUCAGGGCACCGCCCCUCUGCCACAUGGUAGAACAGCUCGCCGUUCUUCUUCUCCACCUGCUCCCGCAGGCAGCACCCCCGCUUUUGUUCUGCCAGGAGAAGCAGCAGGUCGAGGAGACCUCAGGCCCCCGACGCUGACAGGAUGACCCCGUUGAGGGACAUGGGGCUGGUGCUCACUCUGCACAGCUUCCACAGCUGGCUUUGGGGUGACAACUGUUGGAGGGGCAGAGAAGCUCUGGGAGGGCUUCUGAGGCACUGCUGUGAAUGAGAACUUGGGGGCUCUGGGCCAAGCCCUUGUCAGGCCCCAGACGGGUGGGCUCCAUGUCUCUCUACAGCCUCCUUCGCUCGACAAGCGCUGUGGGGACAGAUGGCCUCUCUCGAGUGUGCUUGGAGAAGAACCUGUAAGAAAGAAGUGAGCCGAUAAAUCUGCACGCCCCAAUCCUGGGGGCUAAAGUCCCCCACAGAAAUGCCACUCUUACCUAGCAAGCCCCCGGUGGGGGAAGUGAAGUCUCACCACCAGCAUCUACAGCAGACGUGUUUAUUUCUGCCUGGCUACCUGACAUUGUGGCGGCCACACUGUCUCCUAGAGUUCCUUCCAGACAUUGCUGCACCCACUCCUGACCGGCGGCUUCCUGGGAGGCCCUGGGUGCAGUCUCACCCUGCAGAGCGGCUCCCUUCAACCUGCGGGACUCUGGCUUGGCCCUCAGGUUUUCACUCAAGGACGGCAAUGAACUGGCAGCGACUUUCCCGUCUGCUUCACUCCCAUGGUCUCUCAGGGCCCCCAUGGGGAAAUGUUCACUACAGAGGAAAGAAUACUUAGUGGGGGUCCAGUUAUCCCUGUGAACAGCUUUUAACCACCGGAUCAGGUGUUUUCAGUCCUUUACGGGGAGCCUGCAGGAUAAAUGACAAAGUAGUUAGAACAAAAGAAUUAAAGGAUCAACUAUAAAAGCAAAACAAGUGUUUUUGCGAACACCUACACCUGUAGCAACUUUCUCCAUUUAAAUAUUUAGUACAGAUUUAAGGAACACCUUAACUUGCAAGUUAUUACUGGAACAGAAAGAUGAAAGACCCCCUGUCUACCUCAAGGAGCUUACAGUCUGUAGCGCAGAGGAAGGAAGGAAGGUGGGGAACUCCUCCCAGGCUGUGGUAAACGCCCUGAGGGGUACAGAUGCUCAGGCACAUAGCACAGGAUGGCAUCAAGACAACAGGAAAGGUUCCAGGAAGCCGCAGGAAUAGUUCCUAGAAGCUCACGGCUGACCAAUCCUCCUGCUGUGCCUGGGAUGCAGGGCAGGACUUUGGGUGCUAAAAUGGGGAGGGUUGGGCCCCUACUGCGAAGCCAGGCCAGAUGUCAGCCAGCAGAGCAUCCCAGACAGUCAGCAGGGUGCUGGCCCCAGCUGUGGCUCACACAGCUGAGGAUGCAAGACCACCUCCAAGACGAAGUGAGACUCAGAAGCUGUUCUGUGUUUCUGCACUACCAGGAGGAAAGCUGCUCGCUUUAAAAAAAGCAACUGGCCCGGAGAAGAUACUGACCAAGAUACUUAAUGAUCCCUUCUUCUCAUUAAGGUAAAAUCUCUACAUACACCCAACUGUGCUCGCGGGGAGGGUGCGGCGGACUCCCCGAGGGCUUUCUGCUCCACCGGAGGGCACCUAGCACCUUGAGGCUGCUGUGGACCAGGCCCAGGGUGGAUCCUACCUCUUCAGGAAGUUCUAAGCAAUGUGAUUUCCAAACUCAAAAUGCUGUGAACACGUUACCCAAAGAGCCAAGCCCACUAACACACACAGCGCGUUGGCCAUGAUGCAUACCAAGAGCAGCUUUCUUGGCAGCGCUGUACCUCAUUCUCAAAAGCAGUAACAAAACUUUGGGGACACAGGCUCUGAAGGGAACUGUCAAGAAAGCUCGGUGGCUGACGCCUGGAAUAAGCUCAUAUUACUAGCUCCUCGAGAGCUUAAGCAACUUAAGACUUAGAACAAAUCCCUGUAAACUUCCCAUAAGAGUACGGGUAACAAGCGCCAUUCAGGACUUUCACUGCGAUCACAGCCUGCAGCACGAAGGAGAAGGACCUGCCAGCAGUCUCUUCCGUUCACCGUUCUGGGGCGUCCAGGAGGCGGGCAAGGCCGCCGAGAAGGACUCGCUCAAACAGCUCAAUUCCAGGAGCCCUCACGAAGGGAGCCAGGCCGCGGGGAAGACACAGCCCUCAUGCGGGGCGGGAGCCCCCCGAAGAAGCGGCCAGGGAGCCCCGUCCCGCAGCCCGCGGGGGCGGCCCCGGGAGGAGGGCGCCCGCUCCCCCCGGGACCUCUCACACGCGGCACCGGGACUCACCUGCGGGCGCAGAGCCGCCUUUUCCCGGACUGCCGGGACCCCUCUACAAAGAGCGCCUGUGGGGCGAGGCCAUCCAGGAGGAAGAAGCUGCAUUCGCUCAGCCUCACCGCUGAUGCCAGAGCUCGAGGCAGGCUCCCCGCCAUCAAAAGAACCAAAACGUCACAGCAAGUGAAACGCAAGAGGCCAACUGAGGCAGGGAAGAGCGUCCCCAGAAUGACCUGUUCCUGGACGUCGUCGGCCCCAACCCGACCCAACGCAGAGCUGGGGCCGCGGGUCGGGGGUGAGAAGGCGGGGCGGGUCGUAAGCCGGGGCCGGCGGCCGGGCGUUGCCGCGGUGGCCCGAGGCGCCCGCCCCAGAGCCGGCGGCGCGGGACCCUGCCCCUCCCGCCGGGCGCCGGCUGUGCCGCUGGAGCGGCCGCGAGGCCCCAAGCGGGGGCUGACCGGGCGGCGGUUACCCGUGGCAGAACACGGCGGCUCCUCCGCGCGGCCCGGCCGUUGGGAGCGGUUCGCGGCCGCCCUAGAGUAGGGCUCGCGGCGACACGGCUACAGGACGCGGGAGCCGAUCCCUCUGUCCUCAGCGCGCCCGGCGUCGCGCAGCAAGGAGCGCCGAGCCCGGCCGCACGGCAAGAUGGCCGCGCCCGCGGGCCGGGCACAAGGCGGGCUGACGCGCCCUGUCCCGAGUCCGGGCGCCCAACCGCGUCUGCUUCCGCUGCCCAGACAGGUCGCUGCCGCCGUCCUCGGAGGGAACGACGCAGGACGGGUAGCCGACACCAGUCCCGGCCCUCCGCGCUGGGCCCCACCGUGCGCCAAGAGGGCGGCCGACGCACUUCUGCUCGCACUUCCGGCCCCGCCCAGCGUUUGCUCGGUGGGAUGCCUACCACAGCCCAGCUUGCCACGUGGUGCCACGUCCACACCUGAGAUCUUAACCAGCGAACCCCUGGCCCCCGAGAAGCCGAAUGUGCGCACUUAACCACUGUGCCACCGGGCCAGCCCCACCAAAUGAAUUUUUUUUAAAGACAACUUUGAGAGAAGGAUCAGCUUGUGUUCUCACUCAGAGUCAGGGACACAGGCUGACGGGGCUCCCACCAUCAGGAAAUUCGCCAGUCCCAUGGCAGGGGAGGGAACUCGGCAAAUGACAUGUGACACCUCUCCUCACAUUUCUUUGGACAAAGCAAGUCACGUGACCAUGCCCGACUUCAGGGGACUGGGAAGUACAGCCCUGCCACGUCCCAGGAGGAGAACCAGAGUAUCCGCGAAAGCCCUAAUGACACCCAGCUGUGGCUCCUUCGGUCCCCAGGCCCCGGACACAGGCUGUUGGAUGGACCAGCCUUUCUGAAAGAUCCCAUCCCUGCUCAAGGACAAUGAGUGCAUCCAGUCCACACAGACUGUCACCCCCAACGACGAAGACAGUGACAUCAAGAAAAUUAAGAAGGUCUGCACCAUUCCUCUGGGCUGGCACAACUGUCUCAGCCUCUUGAGAGGGCCUGCUGGCACGUCCCAGUGUCAGGAGUGUCCACCUACUGUUCCACAGCCCCCAGGGCAUGCCAUCCCCUCCCCCACAAAACUCAGCUCUAAAGACAGAACCCACGGCUCCUUACCCCUGAACAGUACCUUGUCAGGCCAUUUCUCUGCUUGUCCCUGUGAAGUGGGGGAGGCUCAGCCCCAUUGUAUAGAUGAGAAAACUGAGGCUCCACGAGAGGAAGGAGCAGAUAGAAGCAGGACAGGAGCCCAGGCCAUGAGACUCGCAGCUGAGAGCUCUCCUCACUGCACUGGGCAGCCUGAGUAAGACCCCUGAGGCCACCUCUCCACCGUCAAUCCCUUGCAUGCCCCCCCCACAGAGGGUGUCAUGCAAACACUUCCUCUCACAACUGCCCCCUUUAGUCCCCAGCAGCCCUCAGCACGGAAACCCAGCCUUAUACGACCCCAUAGUUGGCCCCACUGGUUUUGCCCUGUUAGAGUCCAGAAGGGGCAGAUGUCUCAGAAGGUCGUGCCCAGCACCAUGGGCCACCCCGUGGGGGUGUGGAGGGAGAGAACAUGAUUUGUGUUGCAGCUUGCCAGACUCGAAUCAGGGGAGCCUGACUCAUUCCCAAGAAAACCAGGGAAAAUCAGAGAAUCCUGCUUGUUGAGAGGGCAGGAGGAGCCCAGUGCCAUCCAGACCAGAAGCUGCAGACUGGCACCCACAGGCAAGUUCAGCCUACCUGUGUGUUCGGGGUUUUUAGUCCACACAGUGUUUUUUCUUUUUAUUUUUUUCUUUUUAAUUUGUUGCCAGUGCUUUAAAAGCUAAAUAUUCCACAUAAAAAUCUGGGUGUCUGGUUUCUCAGAAAUAGUUAACAUCCAUUAAGCACUUUCUAUGUGCCAGACACUAUUCUAGAGCUUUAUGCAGAUUAACUCAUUCCUAACUAAAAACUCCCUGAGGUUUCAUUGUUAUCUGCAUUUUACAUAUGGGGAAGCUGAGGCGCAGAGAGGCAAAGUGACUUUCCUAGGUCACACAGCUGAGUAUUUGCAGAGUGACAUUUAAAUCCUUAAGAAUUUUAAAAGAAUGAGAAUCAGCUUUCCCUUGUUACACUUAGUUUUAUCUUGCUUGUAGAUACAACCUGUGUGUUGUAACUGGGUUGAGGUUAAUACUGACAGAGUUUUCUUUCCCUCUAGGCUAACGAUAUCUUUCUUUUUUCAACUAUGAUUUUCCCUGAAGGUACACUGUAAGAAGAUAGAAAAUAUAUUUACCUACAGUGUUUUUUUAUUUUUUAUUUAUUUUCUUUGAGGAAGAUUAGCCCUGACCUAACAUCUGCCACCAGUCCUCCUCUUUUUGCUUUCCUUUCUUUCUUUCUUUCUUUUGUUUGUUUUUGCUGUGGAAGAUUGGCCCUGAGCUAACAUCCAUGCCCAUCUUCCUCUACUCUAUAUGUGGGACGCCUGCCACAGCAUGGCUUGAUAAGCGGUGCAUAGGUCUGCACCCGGGAUCUGAACUGGCAAAUCCUGGGCUGCUGAUGCAGAGUGUUGUGAACUUAACCACUGCACCACCAGUCCAGCCCCUAUUUACUUACAAUUUUAAUUUAAGCAGAGUAGUCUUCAUCAGAGAGUCUUCAGGUCAUGGUUUUAUGAGUGGUGAACUUAUCGUUACUUGUGAUUUCUCUUUUCCCAAACCUCUUUCUCAGCCAUGAGUUUGACCAUUAUCUUAUAUACUCCAGGUAAUUAACAGAGAGGAGGGAAGCUCAUAGAUCUAGUAAUAGACUGAGAAGGACCAGCAAAGCUGCCCCAAACCUUUCCUUCACCUGAAAACACUUGGGCUUCUGCUUUUAGUAUAUCAGUUUCUUCUAUUUAAUUCUUCUAGUAUAAUUUUAUAUUCUAAUGGAGAGGGAAAAAUAUGUAAUUGUGGAUUCUUCUAGUAGUGUGCUUCUCAUUUUUUAUUGUGUUUGAAAUUUCCUAAUAUCACAAGUAGUGAUAGCUCCUACCUUUGAAAAUUUCAUCAAUAUUCACUACUGUGUAGGAGAUGAAUUUCUCUGUUCCUAUGAAAAGUAUAAUGCAAAGAAGAAAUGGCCAUAAAUGUUCUUUCCUCUCACUGUGACAUUAUUCAGACAGUUGGUGAGCUAUACUUUUCAAAUUACCUGAUGUAGCCAAUUCAUAAUACUUGUAGCUUCUCCUUCCAGGAAUCAAGGACAAAUAAUUUUCUAUAGAAAAUCAAUUAAUUGUUAAAAUUUUAAUGAAAUUAAAAUUAAAUUUAAAUUUAAUUGAAAUUAAAGUGAAUUAUUUAAAUGACAGUUUAACUGAUAUAAGAAUCAUUCUUUGUUUAUUAUUAUUGUUUCU
ensembl:lncRNA